AUUGAACGCUGGCGGCAGGCUUAACACAUGCAAGUCGAGCGGGGGAAGGUAGCUUGCUACCGGACCUAGCGGCGGACGGGUGAGUAAUGCUUAGGAAUCUGCCUAUUAGUGGGGGACAGCAUCUCGAAAGGGAUGCUAAUACCGCAUACGUCCUAUGGGAGAAAGCAGGGGAUCUUCGGACCUUGCGCUAAUAGAUGAGCCUAAGUCGGAUUAGCUAGUUGGUGGGGUAAAGGCCUACCAAGGCGACGAUCUGUAGCGGGUCUGAGAGGGUGAUCCGCCACACUGGGACUGAGACACGGCCCAGACUCCUACGGGAGGCAGCAGUGGGGAAUAUUGGACAGUGGGGGGAACCCUGAUCCAGCCAUGCCGCGUGUGUGAAGAAGGCCUUAUGGUUGUAAAGCACUUUAAGCGAGGAGGAGGCUACUUUAGUUAAUACCUAGAGAUAGUGGACGUUACUCGCAGAAUAAGCACCGGCUAACUCUGUGCCAGCCGCCGCCGUAA
rnacentral:rRNA from 1 species